AGUUUGAUCCUGGCUCAGAAUCAACGCUGGCGGCGUGCCUCACACAUGCAAGUCGAACGGACUCUUCGGAGUUAGUGGCGGACGGGUGAGUAACGCGUGAGGAUCUGCCCUUAGGAUGGGGACAACGACUGGAAACGGUCGCUAAUACCCGAUGUGCCGGAAGGUGAAAGCUUUAGCGCCUGAGGAUGAACUCGCGUCUGAUUAGCUAGUUGGUGAGGUAAGGGCUCACCAAGGCGACGAUCAGUAGCUGGUCUGAGAGGAUGAUCAGCCACACUGGGACUGAGACACGGCCCAGACUCCUACGGGAGGCAGCAGUGGGGAAUUUUCCGCAAUGGGCGAAAGCCUGACGGAGCAACGCCGCGUGAGGGAAGAAUGCCUGUGGGUUGUAAACCUCUUUUCUCAGGGAAGAAGAACUGACGGUACCUGAGGAAUCAGCAUCGGCUAACUCCGUGCCAGCAGCCGCGGUAAUACGGAGGAUGCAAGCGUUAUCCGGAAUUAUUGGGCGUAAAGCGUCCGUAGGCGGUUUUUCAAGUCUGCUGUUAAAGCGUGCAGCUUAACUGCAUAUAGGCAGUGGAAACUGAGAGACUAGAGUGUAGUAGGGGUAGAGGGAAUUCCCAGUGUAGCGGUGAAAUGCGUAGAUAUUGGGAAGAACACCGGUGGCGAAAGCGCUCUACUGGGCUACAACUGACGCUGAUGGACGAAAGCUAGGGGAGCGAAAGGGAUUAGAUACCCCUGUAGUCCUAGCCGUAAACGAUGGACACUAGGUGUUGACCGUAUCGACCCGGUCAGUGCCGUAGCCAACGCGUUAAGUGUCCCGCCUGGGGAGUACGCUCGCAAGAGUGAAACUCAAAGGAAUUGACGG
rnacentral:rRNA from 1 species